GGGUGUUUCUGUUCGCGGAUUGUAGUGGAUUGAUUAGAGAAAAGAAGCAAUAGUUAUGGUUUGCUCACUCGUAUUGAUGAUCUUUACUAGCUGUGUGGUAAUACCAACAAAGGUUUAUAGCCAAAAACUACGUCUUGUUGGUGGCGAAGCACCAUAUCAAGGGAGAGUUGAAGUGCUCUACAAUAAUGCCUGGGGAACAGUUUGCGAUUAUGGCUGGGGUAGCCAGGAAGCUUCUGUAGUUUGCCGACGUCUACGAUUCAGAGCGGACGGUGCGAUUGUUAAAAAUGGGGCCUAUUUUGGGCAAGGAACAGGACCAGUUUUGUUCAGCGAUGUUAAGUGUUCGGGAACAGAAAAUUACCUACAUGAGUGCGCUUACUCCUGUUCCCCUUCAGUUAACUGUGAUCACAGUAGGGAUGUUUCCCUUCUCUGCAAACCGUAUUAUCGACUUGUUGGAGGAUCAGCGCCAUACGAAGGCAGGGUUGAAGUUCGCUUUGGCUAUAACUGGGGAACUAUCUGUGAUACUGGAUGGGGGAAUGAGGAAGCAAUGGUUGUUUGUAGAGAUCUUGGUUUUGAUACAGAUGGAGCUGUUUCCCUACCCAACUCACAUUUCGGUAAAGGGACAGGAAGUAUAUUCUUAGAUAAUGUAGAAUGUACUGGUACAGAAACAUCUAUAGAAAGAUGUCGUCAUAGUAACCAUACAACUUGUAC